GAGCGGAGGAAAAGAAACUAACAUGGCCUCCCCUAGUAACGGCGAGCGAACCGGGAAGAGCUCAAAUUUGAAAUCUGGCGUCCUACGGGCGUCCGAGUUGUAAUCUGCAGAGGCGUCUUCCGCCCCGGACCGCGUCCAAGUCCCUUGGAACAGGGUAUCAAAGAGGGUGACAAUCCCGUGCUUGACGCGACCCCCGGUGCUAUGUGAUGCGACCUCAAAGAGUCGAGUUGUUUGGGAAUGCAGCUCCAAACGGGUGGUAAAUUCCAUCUAAGGCUAAAUAUUGGCGAGAGACCGAUAGCGAACAAGUACCGUGAGGGAAAGAUGAAAAGCACUUUGGAAAGAGAGUUAAACAGUACGUGAAAUUGUUGGAAGGGAAACGAUUGAAGUCAGUCGUGUCCGAGGGGUUCAGCCGGUCCUGCCGGUGCACUCCCCUCGGACGGGUCAACAUCGGUUCUGUCCGGCGGACAAGGGCAGGGGGAAAGUGGCACCUUCGUGGUGUGUUAUAGCCCCCCGUCGCAUACGUCGGUCGGGACCGAGGAUCGCAGCUCGCCCUCACGGGCCGGGGUUCGCCCACGUCCGAGCUUAGGAUGUUGACAUAAUGGCUUUAAACGACCGUC
rnacentral:rRNA from 1 species